rnacentral:rRNA from 1 species
UACGGGGGGAGCAAGCGUUGUUCGGAUUUACUGGGCGUAAAGGGCGCGUAGGCGGCCACCGCAAGUCAAUUGUGAGAUCUCCGGGCUUAACUCGGAAAGGUCAACUGAUACUGCGGGGCUAGAGUGCGGAAGGGGCAACUGGAAUUCUCGGUGUAGCGGUGAAAUGCGUAGAUAUCGUGAGGAACACCAGAGGCGAAGGCGGCUACCUGGACAAUUGCUGACGCUCAGGCACGAAAGCGUGGGGAGCAAAAGGG